UGAAAAUUCAGACAUAUUGCCCAGGGGGAAGUCCUGGGAACUGGGUUUAAUACCGCAUGUGCUCUUCGGAGUAAAGUGGGCUUCGGCUCACGCUUUGAGAUAGGCUCGCGUCCUAUCAGCUAGUUGGUGAGGUAACGGCUCACCAAGGCGACGACGGGUAGUUGGUCUGAGAGGACGAUCAGCAACACUGGAACUGAGACACGGUCCAGACACCUACGGGUGGCAGCAGUCGAGAAUCAUUCACAAUGGGGGCAACCCUGAUGGUGCAACGCCGCGUGGAGGAUGAAGGCCCUAGGGUCGUAAACUCCUGUCAUAUGAGAGUAAGGCAUAUUAGUUAAUAUCUAGUAUGCUUGAUAGUAUCAUAAGAGGAAGGGACGGCUAACUUCGUGCCAGCAGCCGCGGUAAUACGAAGGUCCCGAGCGUUAUUCGGAAUCACUGGGCGUAAAGGGAGCGUAGGCUGCGUGGUAAGUCAGAUGUGAAAUCUCAGGGCUCAACCCUGAAACUGCAUCCGAUACUGCCACGCUAGAGUAAUGGAGGGGUAAGUGGAAUUCUCAGUGUAGCAGUGAAAUGCGUAGAUAUUGAGAGGAAGACCAACGGCGAAGGCAGCUUACUGGACAUUUACUGACGCUGAGGCUCGAAGGCUAGGGUAGCGAAAGGGAUUAGAUACCCCAGUAGUC
rnacentral:rRNA from 1 species